rnacentral:rRNA from 1 species
UAGGCUGCAACUCGCCACAUGAAGCUGGAAUUGCUAGUAAUCACAGGUCAGCAUACUGUGGUGAAUACGUUCCCGGGCCUUGUACACACCGCCCGUCACACCAUGAGAGUUGAGAAUACCCGAAGUCCAUGUCAAAGUGGCCGAAGGUAGGCUUGAUGAUUGGGGUGAAGUCGUAACAAGGUAAC